UACGAAGGGGGCUAGCGUUGUUCGGAAUGACUGGGCGUAAAGGGCGCGUAGGCGGCUUUGUUAGUCAGGCGUGAAAGCCCUGGGCUCAACCUGGGAACGGCGCUUGAAACGGCGAGGCUUGAGGCCGGGAGAGGGUGGUGGAAUUCCCAGUGUAGAGGUGAAAUUCGUAGAUAUUGGGAAGAACACCGGUGGCGAAGGCGGCCACCUGGACCGGCCCUGACGCUGAGGCGCGAAAGCGUGGGGAGCAAACAGG
rnacentral:rRNA from 1 species